rnacentral:rRNA from 1 species
AGUGAGGAAUAUUGGACAAUGGGGGAAACCCUGAUCCAGCCAUGCCGCGUGAGUGAAGAAGGCCUUCGGGUUGUAAAGCUCUUUCAGAUGCGAAGAUAAUGACGGUAACAUCAGAAGAAGCCCCGGCUAAAUUCGUGCCAGCAGCCGCGGUAAUACGAAUGGGGCAAGCGUUGUUCGGAAUCACUGGGCUUAAAGCGUACGUAGGCGGACAUGAAAGUCAGAAGUGAAAUCCCGGGGCUCAACCUCGGAACUGCUUUUGAAACUCCAUGUCUAGAAUCCGAGAGGGGUUAGUGGAAUUCCUAGUGUAGAGGUGAAAUUCGCAGAUAUUAGGAGGAACACCAGUGGCGAAGGCGACUGACUGGAUCGGUAUUGACGCUGAGGUACGAAAGCGUGGGGAGCAAA